GUCAUGGUCUUAUGUUUGAUAGGUUGUUCCUCAAUUUGACAGGAAAAGGUCGUAAAGUUCACCAAAGUCAGUCCAGAUAUUUAGAAAAUAUUUGAACAAGAGAGGAAAAUGAAGCUGAUUUUCUUUCUUCUUGUCCUCUUGAAAAGCGGUGAGAAUGUUUUUUCUGUUCUUAAGAUUAUGAGCUAAAUCUGACAUUUGACUGAAUCCAUGAUUAUAUGUAAUUCUCUGUUUAAAUUUAAUAGCAGACAUUUGACCUAUUUUAACUGAAUUGCAAAAAUUUUGUGGGUUAACCUUAAUUAUUUUAUUGGUACUUAAAUGUAUUUGUAUGAUUUUGAUAAUAAGAUAAUUAUAUAAUUAUCAUAAUAACACUACAAAUUAAACUCAAUAUUUUAAGCAGCGAUAAAAGAUGGGAUUGUCUAUCAUCUCAGUCAUCUUUAAACUAAGAAAACAUUAAUGUUCGGUAAAUGUUUUACAGGAAUGAAUUCAACAGAAGGACUCGAUGUGUUUUAUUCAUCAGAGAGAAUUAUUUUAAAAUAUUUCUUUAACCCAUCCCUUCAAAGUCAUGAAAAAUCUUGCUGUAAGUUCAGUCAGUCAGGCUGCUUCCUCUUUGUGAAUAAUAGAAGACAAUUUGCCUCCAUGUAUCGAGGAAGAAUAUUCGUCACAAAUAACAAUGGAGAAUUUGAAGUAAUAAUUACAAAUCUGAGUGUAAUGGAUGCUGGGAGGUAUGGAUGUGGUUUCAGUGGGUUCCCUCAGACCUAUGAGUAUGUGGAAGUUACCGUUUCUGAUCUAAGUGGGGUAAACACAGCUCCUCUCUUGCCAAAAUCCGUCAUUAUACCAACAGUCAGGCCGUCUUCUUCUCCCUCUGCACCCAUUGCUUCUGAGAAUGAUGCAGAGACACUCAGCAGUGGCAGCUGGAGAACAUCCUUCAGUCUAGCUGCUGUUUUUAGUCUUCUGGUGUUUGCUGUCAUCUCAAUGACACUGCUCGUGUAUUGUCUAAAAACCAGGAAGAAAAAAUCCACAGAUAAAAGUGAAGUCUGUGGUUCUCCUAACACCACACUGGAGCAGGACGGCAUUAUCUACUCUAUGGUGGAGUUUAAGCCCUGCCAGGAUCCAUAUGAACUUUAUGCCAAUUUGCAGCUAUACAGCCCAAAAGAUGCUAAUGCUUCUUCAAGCUGUACAGUCACAGUAAAGGAAACCGCAGAAUAUUCCACUAUUACGAGAGCAUCAGCAUAAACAUUUGCAAUGUUUGUGUUCAAUGUAUUCAUUGCUAUGAUUUGUUUUUGUUGUUGUUGCUUUUGUUUGCUUGAGGGAUUUGUUUCUUACAAGAUUUUUUUAACUAUAUUUUUAAUGCAACAUUGUACUGAUACUGUAGUAAUUAUUUUAUUCUUGAAAAUGUCAUUAUGAUGAUUAAUGCCUGGAAAUUUCUAUAUAGUAAAAUGUGUAUUAUCUAAAAAUAAGUUACUUUUAACUCUUAAACAAUUUAUGUAUUUUGACUCAUGUGGGUGUUUGACUUAGAAAGACAUACACAGGAUGACAAUUUGUGAUGCAAUAAUUAUAAUUUUAUUUUGGAUGUACAGAGAAACUUUCAAUCAUGAAUCUCUAUUUAGAUGUCGAAAUAGGUGAAAACCAGUUUUUGCAAUCCAGUGCUUCUUUAGGCAGCAAAAUGUAGGCCCAUCAGAAUCUACAAAUUCUCUUUGAGCGAGGCAACAUAAACAUAUGUGGUGACAGAUGCUGUAUGUGAUGUACUGUAUUAUGUUCGAAUCGAAUAGGAUUUAAGGGAUACUGGGAUAAUCAAGGACGCUCAAAUGAAUCAAGACUACCAGUUUACAUUAACCAUAUCAAAUAAAUUCAGCAAUGAGAUUUUAUGGCA
ensembl:lncRNA